rnacentral:lncRNA from 1 species
GCGGAAGUGGCUUUGUUGACCGGGAGAAACGAGAUGGGGGUGAAGCUGGAGAUAUUUCGGAUGAUAAUCUACCUCACUUUCCCUGUGGCUAUGUUCUGGGUUUCCAAUCAGGCCGAGUGGUUUGAGGACGAUGUCAUACAGCGCAAGAGGGAGCUGUGGCCACCUGAGAAGCCAUGAGUAAGGAACCGAGAGCAGAGGAGUAGAUGGUUUCCUUAUUGCCUUCUCCUGGAAGAGUGAAGCGGAUCCCACGCAGACCCCUUUGUAAUUGGCAGGGGGCUUCCAGUGAAGACACUGAACCCUGAAGCUGUGGUCUGGGGCAGGGUGGUGGGAGAGGUGGGCGGGGGGGGGGUCCCGGCUCUGAGGUGUGUGCCCCUCCCCCCUUCCUGUCCCACCCGCUUCUCCACCCCUAGCUUCAAGAGAUAGAGGAAUUCAAAGAGAGGUUACGGAAGCGGCGGGAGGAGAAGCUCCUUCGCGAUGCCCAGCAAAACUCCUGAAGCCUCCAAGUGGGAGUCCUAGCCCCUCCCCUGAUGAAAUAUACAUAUACUCAGUUCCUU